rnacentral:rRNA from 1 species
UUGCUUCUCUGAUGUUAGCGGCGGACGGGUGAGUAACACGUGGAUAACCUACCUAUAAGACUGGGAUAACUUCGGGAAACCGGAGCUAAUACCGGAUAAUAUUUUGAACCGCAUGGUUCAAAAGUGAAAGACGGUCUUGCUGUCACUUAUAGAUGGAUCCGCGCUGCAUUAGCUAGUUGGUAAGGUAACGGCUUACCAAGGCAACGAUGCAUAGCCGACCUGAGAGGGUGAUCGGCCACACUGGAACUGAGACACGGUCCAGACUCCUACGGGAGGCAGCAGUAGGGAAUCUUCCGCAAUGGGCGCAAGCCUGACGGAGCAACGCCGCGUGAGUGAUGAAGGUCUUCGGAUCGUAAAACUCUGUUAUUAGGGAAGAACAUAUGUGUAAGUAACUGUGCACAUCUUGACGGUACCUAAUCAGAAAGCCACGGCUAACUACGUGCCAGCAGCCGCGGUAAUACGUAGGUGGCAAGCGUUAUCCGGAAUUAUUGGGCGUAAAGCGCGCGUAGGCGGUUUUUUAAGUCUGAUGUGAAAGCCCACGGCUCAACCGUGGAGGGUCAUUGGAAACUGGAAAACUUGAGUGCAGAAGAGGAAAGUGGAAUUCCAUGUGUAGCGGUGAAAUGCGCAGAGAUAUGGAGGAACACCAGUGGCGAAGGCGACUUUCUGGUCUGUAACUGACGCUGAUGUGCGAAAGCGUGGGGAUCAAACAGGAUUAGAUACCCUGGUAGUCCACGCCGUAAACGAUGAGUGCUAAGUGUUAGGGGGUUUCCGCCCCUUAGUGCUGCAGCUAACGCAUUAAGCACUCCGCCUGGGAGUA